GACGAACGCUGGCGGCGUGCUUAACACAUGCAAGUCUACGAGAAUAAGGUAGCAAUAUCUUUAGUAAAGUGGCGCACGGGUGAGUAACACGUAAGUAACCUACCUUUAGAUUUGGAAUAACCCCGAGAAAUCGGGGCUAAUACCGAAUGAUGCAGCGGCACCACAUGGUGAUGUUGUUAAAGUCUAUAUGACGUCUAAAGAUGGGCUUGCGUCUGAUUAGCUAGUUGGUGAGGUAACGGCUCACCAAGGCUACGAUCAGUAGCUGGUCUGAGAGGAUGAUCAGCCACACUGGAACUGAGACACGGUCCAGACUCCGACGGGAGGCAGCAGUGAGGAAUAUUGGGCAAUGCCCGAAAGGGUGACCCAGCAACGCCGCGUGGAGGAUGAAUGCCGUAAGGUUGUAAACUCCUGUUAGAGGGGAAGAAAAAUCUCGAUCAAAUCGAGAACUGACUGUACCCUCAGAGAAAGCCCCGGCUAACUACGUGCCAGCAGCCGCCGUAACAC
rnacentral:rRNA from 1 species